rnacentral:rRNA from 1 species
ACAGAGGGUGCAAACGUUGUUCGGAAUCACUGGGCAUAAAGCGCACGUAGGCGGUCUGUUAAGUCAGAUGUGAAAGCCCCCGGCUCAACCGGGGAACUGCAUUUGAUACUGGCAGGCUCGAGAACGGUAGGGGUGAGUGGAACUCCAGGUGGAGCGGUGAAAUGCGUAGAUAUCUGGAGGAACACCGGUGGCGAAAGCGGCUCACUGGACCGUCACUGACGCUGAGGUGCGAAAGCUAGGGUAGCAAACGGG